rnacentral:misc_RNA from 1 species
CGAACUGCGAUAAGUAAUGUGAAUUGCAGAAUUCAGUGAAUCAUCGAGUCUUUGAACGCACAUUGCGCCCCCUGGCAUUCCGGGGGGCAUGCCUGUCCGAGCGUCAUUGCUGCCCUUCAAGCCCGGCUUGUGUGUUGGGUCGUCGUCCCCUCCGGGGGACGGGCCCGAAAGGCAGCGGCGGCACCGCGUCCGGUCCUCGAGCGUAUGGGGCUUUGUCACCCGCUCGAUAAGGACCGGCCGGGCGCCAGCCGGCGUCUCCAACCUUUUUUUCUCAGGUUGACCUCGGAUCAGGUAGGGAUACCCGCUGAACUUAAGC